UCUGGCAGCCCUCCUUUGGGCGUUUCCUCCCUAGACUUCGGGCCGCUCCGCAGGGGCGGUCUUUUUUUGUCUAGC
rnacentral:sRNA from 1 species